CCGGUGUCCUGCAGAGUUUAGCUCCUCCUUGCCUCUACACACCUGCCUGGAAGUUUCAGGUAUACCUAGUAAGACCUUGAUUAGCAGGUUUGUAGCAGGUUCGGGGGUGGUUAUUUGGAAUUGAGAACCGCUGGCUUAGCCAGUGGCCCUUGCAUCACAAAAGAAGUUUACUGCAUCCUCUUUCAGUCCAUGAAUGACACUAGUUGAGACUUACUUAGACUUCACAUUAUUAUUCAUGGGUCAUGUGACCUUUUUGUUGUGAUAAAUCAACUGUCUAUGGGUUUUUACAUUCAGAGAAAUUUCUUGACAGAGCAACGAGUGCAGCAGUGAAGAGGACCUUUUAGACCUCUGCUCUCAUCUGAGAGAUUCAGAAUAUUUCAGAGACCUGCAACUUGGAUCAGCUGAACCACUAGACACACCACUUCCAGUUUUAACUGCACCUGUUUCUGCCCCUUUGGUACCUCCUGCAUCCACAUCAGAAAGCGGAUCUCGGCAUCAUCAACUUUUCCAGACAGCCGAUGCGAUUUCCACUGGAGGGGAAGCCAUGGAACGCUUGGUUGCUAUCAGAAACUCAGAACAGAAGGAAUUCCAGGAUUAUCCGGAAUCCGAUCAAGAUGAGGACUCGGACACAGAUAACUUUCCUACAUUGGUUAGAUCCAUGUCCACGUCACGUAGACACAGCUGGGAAGUGCCAGUGUCGCCGUUUGACAUGGGAAGAAGAUUCAGUCUAGACACAAACGGCAUUGACAGUGAUGGGGAAAGAGAGGUCCACUGUUUGGCCAAAAGUCCCCAUAUACCAUCUUGCUCCUUCUCCGAAAGCUCAGUGGAAGAAACCACCAGCGCUGUGGAAAGUGAAAUACCCCAAACACCAGUAACUAUCCUUAUUGCAAUCUCCAUCUUAGUAUGACCAGAACAAGACUUUCAGAUAGCUCUAAAACCACACUCCUGCUCCUGGAGGACUGCCAUCCUGCAGAGUUUAACUCCAACCCUAAUUAA
ensembl:lncRNA